rnacentral:rRNA from 1 species
AACGAACGCUGGCGGCAGGCUUAACACAUGCAAGUCGAGCGCCCCGCAAGGGGAGCGGCAGACGGGUGUGUAACGCGUGGGAACCUACCCAUCUCUACGGAAUAACGCAUGGAAACGUGUGCUAAUACCGUAUACGUCCUUCGGGAGAAAGAUUUAUCGGAGAUGGAUGAGCCCGCGUUGGAUUAGCUAGUUGGUGGGGUAAAGGCCUACCAAGGCGACGAUCCAUAGCUGGUCGGAGAGGAUGAUCAGCCACACUGGGACUGAGACACGGCCCAGACUACUGGGGGAGGCAGCAGUAGGGAAUAUUGGACAAUAGGCGCAAGCCUGAUCCAGCCAUGCCGCGUGAGUGAUGAAGGCCCUAGGGUUGUAAAGCUCUUUCACCGGUGAAGAUAAUGACGGUAACCGGAGAAGAAGCCCCGGCUAACUUCGUGCCAGCAGCCGCCGCGGUAA